AGCAGCAGCACUAACUUAACAACUAGUGGGCAAUGAACUCGUCUACACAUCUUGCUUAAAAACAGACAAUGUGGAGUCCAAACGCUCAAGGGAAUUUCGCGCGUCACGCCUACUUGUCAAUUAAAGUCACAACAAGCUGUCAAUGUCACAAUGACCGAUAACUCAACAAUGGGUCAAUGGCGAAUAACGAGUCAUCAAACGAUCUACAAGGAGAGAUGGAAAAGUUUUUGCUCGCGGCAGUUACAUUAUUAUAAUUUAAGAAAUGAUUUCAUGAAUUUGUUUUUUUAUUAUUAGUUGUACAUGUUCGACAUAUUAAAAAGAAUUAGAUAGAAGUGAGAAUAGUAUGUAUCUACUUCUAAUAAUUUUUGCAACAACCUUUGAAGCGUUGCACUUUUGUUUAAUUCACUUUUUUUUUAAUAACAUUCCAGUAGUACGUAUCUACUAGAAUUUCAUAAAUAAUAAAAAGGUAACAAAUA